rnacentral:rRNA from 1 species
UUUAUUGAAACUGGUAUGAAGGGCUGAACAAAUAAUUUAUAUUUAUUAUACUUUUUUAAAAUUUAUAUUUUAUGUUAAAAUACAUAAAUAAUAUAAAGGGACGAUAAGACCCUAAAAGCUUUAUUUUUUUAAAUUUUUAGAUUAUUGUUAGUAUUUUUAAAUUAAGUAAGAUUUUGGCUGGGGUAGCAUAUUUUUAUAAACAAAAUUUUUUAUAAACAAAUAGGGUUUAAGGUCCUUUAGAUAAGGAUAAAUUGUUUAAGUUACUUUAGGGAUAACAGCAUAAUAAUGAUAGGGAGAUCUUAUUUAUAUUAUUGAUUGUGACCUCGAUGUUGAAUUAAUUUUUCUUUGUAAAGCAGAAAUUAUAACUGAAAGUUUGUUCAACUUUUAAAUUUUUACAUGAUCUGA